rnacentral:rRNA from 1 species
GACGAACGCUGGCGGCGUGCUUAACACAUGCAAGUCGAACGGAAAGGCCCUGCUUUUGUGGGGUGCUCGAGUGGCGAACGGGUGCGUAACACGUGAGUAACCUGCCCUUGACUUUGGGAUAACUUCAGGCAACUGGGGCUAAUACCGGAUAGGAGCUCCUGCUGCAUGGUGGGGGUUGGAAAGUUUCGGCGGUUGGGGAUGGACUCGCGGCUUAUCAGCUUGUUGGUGGGGUAGUGGCUUACCAAGGCUUUGACGGGUAGCCGGCCUGAGAGGGUGACCGGCCACAUUGGGACUGAGAUACGGCCCAGAGUCCUGCGGGAGGCAGCAGUGGGGAAUAUUGCACAAUGGGCGGAAGCCUGAUGCAGCAACGCCGCGUGCGGGAUGACGGCCUUCGGUUUGUAAACCGCUUUCGCCUGUGACGAAGCGUGAGUGACGGUAAUGGGUAAAGAAGCACCGGCUAACUACGUG